GACGUAGGGCGCGAGCGUUGUCCGGAUUUAUUGGGCGUAAAGAGCUCGUAGGCGGUUGGGUAAGUCGGGGGUGAAAACUCAGGGCUCAACUCUGAGACGCCACUCGAUACUGCCCUGACUCGAGUCCGGUAGGGGAGCGUGGAAUUCCCGGUGUAGCGGUGAAAUGCGCAGAUAUCGGAAGGAACACCAGUGGCGAAGGCGGCACUCUGGGCCAGUACUGACACUGAGGAGCGAAAGCGUGGGUAGCGAACAGG
rnacentral:rRNA from 1 species